ACUGCACCAGCUUAUGGAUAUUCAUUGCCAGAUUAAACAGGAAAUUGGAUUGCUUAUGUUUUCCAUGCUUUCCAUGCACGCUAAUAGCUCAGCACCUACAUGUGUUAUCCAUUCUGUGCCAUCAUGUACUAACAAGGAGAGUAAGUGGUGGAAAGGACAUUUAAUGGGUAGAAUGAAUUUCUAUUUGUCUACAGGAUGUUAAGACCCAAAAAAGGAAAACUCUUUCCCAUAAAUAUUAUUCACAGUGGCAAAUGGAUACUACAUAUAUUCAUCCUUAUCAUUUCCACAAGGAGUGGGGAACAAAAUAUACACACGUGCUCACACACACAUUAAAACAAGGAAUUCCCCACGCACAGCAACAACAGUCAGAAGCUGGUGGAUCGCAGGAAUUAGCAAUAAUAGAAUCAAAAACAAGCCCCCACACACUAGAACGACUUUACUCCAAGAAGCUGUAGUGAUAAUGGAUCGUGGAUGGAAAAAUACUGAAAAAAGAGAAACGGGUCCGGCUGCGGACUGUACCUCAGGGAGCGUGGUGUAAGCCAAGGGCUUGGGGUAGGUCAAGUUCAUCAGACAAGAAUGCGGGAUUUGAAGAAGACGAUGAAGUAACUGCACAGCAGAAGCAACAGAUAGGUAAUCACAGCUCAGUACAGCAAAAGUUGAACAUAUGA